GCCAUCGUAGCUCAGUUGGUAGAGCGACGCACUCGUAAUGCGUAGGUCACGAGUUCGACUCUCGUCGGUGGCUCAA
rnacentral:tRNA from 1 species